CUAAGAAUAGUCCGCAAUGGGGGAAACCCUGACGGUGCGACGCCGCGUGAACGAUGAAGGCCUGACGGUUGUAAAGUUCUUUUCUCGAUGAAGAAUAAGGACAGGAGUGGAACGCCUGUCCGAUGACGUUAAUCGAGGAAUAAGCCCCGGCUAAUUACGUGCCAGCAGCCGCGGUAAUACGUAUGGGGCGAGCGUUGUUCGGAAUUAUUGGGCGUAAAGGGCGCGUAGGCGGUUUCGUAAGCUUGGUGUGAAAGGCUUCGGCUCAACCGGAGUUGUGCGCUGGGAACUGCGAGACUAGAGUUCUGGAGGGGAAGCUGGAAUUCCUGGUGUAGGGGUGAAAUCUGUAGAUAUCAGGAAGAACACCGGUGGCGAAGGCGAGCUUCUGGCCAGAAACUGACGCUGAGGUGCGAAAGCGUGGGGAGCGAACAGGAUUAGAUACCCCCGUAGUCC
rnacentral:rRNA from 1 species